GUGAAAGUGAGAUGUUGGAAUGGUUCAAUCAAAUCAAAGCUCCUAACUCAAUUAGGUGAUUUCAUUUGAUUGAGCCGUGCCAAUAUCACAUUUUCUCGC
rfam:Nelumbo nucifera unplaced genomic scaffold scaffold00006, whole genome shotgun sequence